GACGAACGCUGGCGGCGUGCCUAAUACAUGCAAGUCGAGCGAAGCGGCGGAAGGGUGAGUAACGCGCGGGGAACCCGCCCUUAAGCCUGGGAUACUAUUUGGAAACAGAUGCUAAUACCGGAUACUAAAGGAUGGACCUGCGAUGCAUUGGCUAGUUGGUAAGGUAACGGCUUAACAGGGCGAUGAUGCAUAGCCGAGUUGAGAGACUGUUCGGCCACAUUGGGACUGAGACACGGCCCAAACUCCUACGGGAGGCAGCAGUGGGGAAUCUUCCACAAUGGACGAAAGUCUGAUGGAGCAACGCCGCGUGAGUGAAGAAGGUUUUCGGAUCGUAAUGCUCUGUUGUUGGUGAAGCGGUAAUCAACCAGAAAGUCACGGCUAACUACGUGCCAGCAGCCGCGGUAAUUC
rnacentral:rRNA from 1 species